GAUGAACGCUGGCGGCGUGCCUAAUACAUGCAAGUCGAGCGAACGGACGAGAAGCUUGCUUCUCUGAUGUUAGCGGCGGACGGGUGAGUAACACGUGGAUAACCUACCUAUAAGACUGGGAUAACUUCGGGAAACCGGAGCUAAUACCGGAUAAUAUUUUGAACCGCAUGGUUCAAAAGUGAAAGACGGUCUUGCUGUCACUUAUAGAUGGAUCCGCGCUGCAUUAGCUAGUUGGUAAGGUAACGGCUUACCAAGGCAACGAUGCAUAGCCGACCUGAGAGGGUGAUCGGCCACACUGGAACUGAGGCACGGUCCAGACUCCUACGGGAGGCAGCAGUAGGGAAUCUUCCGCAAUGGGCGAAAGCCUGACGGAGCAACGCCGCGUGAGUGAUGAAGGUCUUCGGAUCGUAAAACUCUGUUAUUAGGGAAGAACAUAUGUGUAAGUAACUGUGCACACCUUGACGGUACCUAAUCAGAAAGCCACGGCUAACUACGU
rnacentral:rRNA from 1 species